GAUGAACGCUGGCGGUGUGCCUAAUACAUGCAAGUCGAGCGAACAGACGAGGAGCUUACUCCUCUGACGUUAGCGGCGGACGGGUGAGUAACACGUGGAUAACCUACCUAUAAGACUGGGAUAACUUCGGGAAACCGGAGCUAAUACCGGAUAACAUGUUGAACCGCAUGGUUCAACAGUGAAAGACGGUCUUGCUGUCACUUAUGGUUGGACCCGCGUCGCAUUAGCUAGUUGGUAAGGUAACGGCUUACCAAGGCAACGAUGCGUAGCCGACCUGAGAGGGUGAUCGGCCACACUGGAACUGAGACACGGUCCAGACUCCUACGGGAGGCAGCAGUAGGGAAUCUUCCGCAAUGGGCGAAAGCCUGACGGAGCAACGCCGCGUGAGUGAAGAAGGUCUUCGGAUCGUAAAACUCUGUUAUUAGGGAAGAACAAAUGUGUAAGUAACUAUGCACGUCUUGACGGUACCUAAUCAGAAAGCCACGGCUAACUACGUG
rnacentral:rRNA from 1 species